GGCUCAGGAUAAACGCUGGCGGCGUGCCUAACACAUGCAAGUCGAACGAAGAGGCCCCUUCGGGGGUACUUCAGUGGCGGACGGGUGAGUAUAACAUAGGUGACCUGCCCCAAAGCAGGGGAUAACAGUCCGAAAGGAUUGCUAAUACCCCAUGUGGUCAUCAAGAUUAGAGGCUUGAUGACUAAAGGAGCAAUCCGCUUUGGGAGGGGCCUGUGGCCCAUCAGCUAGUUGGCAGGGUAAUGGCCUACCAAGGCGACGACGGGUAGGGGGCCUGAGAGGGUGACCCCCCACAUUGGCACUGACACACGGGCCAAACUCCUACGGGAGGCAGCAGUGAGGAAUAUUGCACAAUGGGCGAAAGCCUGAUGCAGCAACGCCGCGUGAGCGAUGAAGGCCUUCGGGUCGUAAAGCUCUUUUGAGAGGGAAGAGAACGGACGGUACCUCUUGAAUAAGUCACGGCUAACUACGUGCCAGCAGCCGCGGUAAAACGUAGGUGGCAAGCGUUAUCCGGAUUCAUUGGGCGUAAAGCGAGUGCAGGUGGCCUCGUAAGUUGGAUGUGAAAUUUCUCAGCUUAACUGGGAAGGGUCAUUCAAUACUGCGGGGCUUGAGGGUAGAAGAGGGGGGUGGAAUUGCCGGUGUAGUGGUGAAAUGCGUAGAUAUCGGCAGGAACACCAGUGGCGAAAGCGGCCCCCUGGUUUACUCCUGACACUCAUACUCGAAAGCUAGGGUAGCGAACGGGAUUAGAAACCCCGGUAGUCCUAGCCGUAAACGAUGGAUGCUAGGUGUGGGUGGUAUUGACCCCAUCCGUGCCGAAGCUAACGCGUUAAGCAUCCCGCCUGGGGACUAC
rnacentral:rRNA from 1 species